CCUCAACAUCACUGUCUCAAACCCACCUCAACAUCACUGUCUCAAACCCACCUCAACAUCACUGUCUCAAACCCACCUCAACAACACUGUCUCAAACCCACCUCAACAUCACUGUCUCAAACCCACCUCAACAACACUGUCUCAAACCCACCUCAACAUCACUGUCUCAAACCCACCUCAACAUCACUGUCUCAAACCCACCUCAACAACACUGUCUCAAACCCACCUCAACAACACUGUCUCAAACCCACCUCAACAUCACUGUCUCAAACCCACCUCAACAACACUGUCUCAAACCCACCUCAGCAACACUGUCUCAAACCCACCUGAACAACACUGUCUCAAACCCACCUCAACAUCACUGUCUCAAACCCACCUCAACAUCACUGUCUCAAACCCACCUCAACAUCACUGUCUCAAACCCACCUCAACAUCACUGUCUCAAACCCACCUCAACAACACUGUCUCAAACCCACCUCAACAACACUGUCUCAAACCCACCUCAACAACACUGUCUCAAACCCACCUCAACAACGCUGUCUCAAACCCACCUCAACAACACUGCCUCAAACCCACCUCAACAACAUUGUCUCAAACCCACCUCAACAACGCUGUCUCAAACCCACCUCAACAACACUGUCUCAAACCCACCUCAACAACACUGUCUCAAACCCACCUCAACAACACUGUCUCAAACCCACCUCAACAACACUGUCUCAAACCCACCUCAACAACACUGUCUCAAACCCACCUCAACAUCACUGUCUCAAACCCACCUCAACAACACUGUCUCAAACCCACCCAAACAACGCUGUCUCAAACCCACCUCAACAUCACUGUCUCAAACCCACCUCAACAACACUGUCUCAAACCCACCCAAACAACGCUGUCUCAAACCUACCUCAACAACACUGUCUCAAACCCACCUCAACAGCACUGUCUCAAACCCACCACAACAUCACUGUCUCAAACCAACCUCAACAACACUGUCUCAAACCCUCCUCAACAUCACUGUCUCAAACCCACCUCAACAACACUGUCUCAAACCCACCACAACAUUACUGUCUCAAACCCACCUCAACAACACUGUCUCAAACCCACCUCAACAACACUGUCUCAAACCCACCUCAACAUCACUGUCUCAAACCCACCUCAACAACACUGUCUCAAACCCACCUCAACAACGCUGUCUCAAACCCACCUCAACAACACUGUCUCAAACCCACCUCAACAACACUGUCUCAAACCCACCACAACAUUACUGUCUCAAACCCACCUCAACAACACUGUCUCAAACCCACCUCAACAACACUGUCUCAAACCCACCUCAACAACACUGUCUCAAACCCACCUCAACAACACUGUCUCAAACCCACCUCAACAUCACUGUCUCAAACCCACCUCAACAACACUGUCUCAAACCCACCCAAACAACGCUGUCUCAAACCCACCUCAACAUCACUGUCUCAAACCCACCUCAACAACACUGUCUCAAACCCACCCAAACAACGCUGUCUCAAACCUACCUCAACAACACUGUCUCAAACCCACCUCAACAGCACUGUCUCAAACCCACCACAACAUCACUGUCUCAAACCAACCUCAACAACACUGUCUCAAACCCUCCUCAACAUCACUGUCUCAAACCCACCUCAACAACACUGUCUCAAACCCACCACAACAUUACUGUCUCAAACCCACCUCAACAACACUGUCUCAAACCCACCUCAACAACACUGUCUCAAACCCACCUCAACAUCGCUGUCUCAAACCCACCUCAACAACACUGUCUCAAACCCACCUCAACAACGCUGUCUCAAACCCACCUCAACAACACUGUCUCAAACCCACCUCAACAACGCUGUCUCAAACCCACCUCAACAACACUGUCUCAAACCCACCUCAACAACACUGUCUCAAACCCACCUCAACAACGCUGUCUCAAACCCACCUCAACAACACUGCCUCAAACCCACCUCAACAACAUUGUCUCAAACCCACCUCAACAACGCUGUCUCAAACCCACCUCAACAAUGCUGUCUCAAACCCACCUCAACAACGCUGUCUCAAACCCACCUCAACAACACUGUCUCAAACCCACCUCAACAACACUGCCUCAAACCCACCUCAACAACAUUGUCUCAAACCCACCUCAACAACGCUGUCUCAAACCCACCUCAACAACACUGUCUCAAACCCACCUCAACAACACUGUCUCAAACCCACCUCAACAUCACUGUCUCAAACCCACCUCAACAACACUGUCUCAAACCCACCUCAACAACACUGUCUCAAACCCACCUCAACAUCACUGUCUCAAACCCACCUCAACAACACUGUCUCAAACCCACCUCAACAACACUGUCUCAAACCCACCUCAACAACACUGUCUCAAACCCACCUCAACAUCACUGUCUCAAACCCACCUCAACAUCACUGUCUCAAACCCACCUCAACAUCACUGUCUCAAACCCACCUCAACAUCACUGUCUCAAACCCACCUCAACAACACUGUCUCAAACCCACCUCAACAUCACUGUCUCAAACCCACCUCAACAACACUGUCUCAAACCCACCUCAACAUCACUGUCUCAAACCCACCUCAACAUCACUGUCUCAAACCCACCUCAACAACACUGUCUCAAACCCACCUCAACAACACUGUCUCAAACCCACCUGAACAACACUGUCUCAAACCCACCUCAACAUCACUGUCUCAAACCCACCUCAACAUCACUGUCUCAAACCCACCUCAACAUCACUGUCUCAAACCCACCUCAACAACACUGUCUCAAACCCACCUCAACAUUACUGUCUCAAACCCACCUCAACAACACUGUCUCAAACCCACCUCAACAUCACUGUCUCAAACCCACCUCAACAUCACUGUCUCAAACCCACCUCAACAACACUGUCUCAAACCCACCUCAACAACACUGUCUCAAACCCACCUCAACAUCACUGUCUCAAACCCACCUCAACAACACUGUCUCAAACCCACCUCAACAACACUGUCUCAAACCCACCUGAACAACACUGUCUCAAACCCACCUCAACAUCACUGUCUCAAACCCACCUCAACAUCACUGUCUCAAACCCACCUCAACAUCACUGUCUCAAACCCACCUCAACAUCACUGUCUCAAACCCACCUCAACAACACUGUCUCAAACCCACCUCAACAACACUGUCUCAAACCCACCUCAACAACACUGUCUCAAACCCACCUCAACAUCACUGUCUCAAACCCACCUCAACAACACUGUCUCAAACCCACCUCAACAACACUGUCUCAAACCCACCUCAACAUCACUGUCUCAAACCCACCUCAACAACACUGUCUCAAACCCACCCCAACAACACUGUCUCAAACCCACCUCAACAACACUGUCUCAAACCCACCUCAACAACACUGUCUCAAACCCACCUGAACAACACUGUCUCAAACCCACCUCAACAUCACUGUCUCAAACCCACCUCAACAACACUGUCUCAAACCCACCUGAACAACACUGUCUCAAACCUACCUCAACAACACUGUCUCAAACCCACCUCAACAACGCUGUCUCAAACCCACCUCAACAACACUGUCUCAAACCCACCUCAACAACACUGUCUCAAACCCACCUCAACAACACUGUCUCAAACCCACCUCAACAUCACUGUCUCAAACCCUGAAUGGGCCUUUAUACCUCCACCAUCGUCAGCUGUUACUCACAGACAUAUCUCCCCUUUUGGGUGUAUUGGUACAGCUGUGAUGUAAUCAGGGUGGUUGUUAUGGUGAUGGCUCUAGAUGUGUCUCCGAUCCUCCUGUUGCUCUUCUCUGACGUGCCAUGGUGAAGAUAACAGGUCUUAUCUAUACAGAUACACAUGCAGUGGCUUGGACCAGAUUACUGUUUUCUUUUCACAGUCACAUCUGACGCAAUGUUUUCCUGGCAUUGGGAGAACAGUAAUGUGUAUCUUCAGUUCAGAGUUUCACAACCUUUUAAAAAAAAAGUUUAACCUGCACCCACUUAUACCACCCCAACCCACUUCUAGGUACUUUAGCCAGGGGUAUGCAUUUUGCCUUGUUCCAGGCAAUACAAGCAUUACUAUCCUUAUAUAGGUAUUGCAUAGCCUACUGUACAUCUUGUUGAAUGAGAUAGGCGAUGCUCUGCUGCCAACAUAGUCAGAACUAUUUACGUACAUGGGCUCUGAUUACUGUAGCACCAUUAUACGUUACUUCGGUAUCCUUUUCCCCCCGGGCACUGUCACUAUGUUACUGUCACUAUGUUACUGUCACUAUGUUACUGUCACUAUGCUACUGGUUACUGUCACUAUGUUACUGUCACUAUGUUACUGUCACUAUGUUACUGUCACUAUGUUACUGUCACUAUGUUACUGUCACUAUGUUACUGUCACUAUGCUACUGUCACUAUGUUACUGUCACUAUGUUACUGGUUACUGUCACUAUGUUACUGUCACUAUGUUACUGGUUACUAUGUUACUGUCACUAUGUUACUGUCACUAUGUUACUGUCACUAUGUUACUGGUUACUGUCACUAUGUUACUGUCACUAUGUUACUGUCACUAUGUUACUCUCACUAUGUUACUGUCACUAUGCUACUGUCACUAUGUUACUGUCACUAUGUUACUGGUUACUGUCACUAUGUUACUGUCACUAUGUUACUGGUUACUAUGUUACUGUCACUAUGUUACUGUUACUAUGU
ensembl:lncRNA